AUGGCAUCUUGUGGCGGCGCGGGCCAUGACGGCGGGCGCUCACGGCCGACGGUGGUCUACGACGACCUGGUGGAGGUGCGCGAGCACGCGGCGACGCUGCAGACCAUCCUGCAGGGGUCGCCGAGCGUGUCGGCCGUGGACGCGAGAGAGCUCGUGAAGGGGAUGAUGGCCAAGCUGUCCAGCGCUAUGUCGGUGCUGGGCGCCACCAGCGGCAGCGGUGUGGAGUCGUCUUUGGGGACAGGCCGAGGACCAGGUCCAGGUGGGAGGAGGAAGAAACCCGGCACGGCGUUGUCCGGGCCGCACCGCCGGAGCAGCUCCAGGAGAAGGUCGAAGAGCCCUUUCAUCAACAUGGUCACUGCUAGGACGCUCAACGAUGGCAAGACAUGGAGGAAGUACGGCCAAAAAUAUAUUCAUGCCUCUACUAGCCCGAGGAGCUACUACAGGUGCUCUCAUAAGCCAGACCAAGGCUGCCAGGCCACGAGGCAGGUCCAGGAAUCCGACUCCAACCCGUCGGAGUACAUCAUCAGCUACUACGGCCAGCACACCUGCAAAGACCCCUCCACGUUCCGGUCACUCCUCAUCCAAGGCGCCGCCGACGCUGCCCCGCCAGCAGACUGCUCAAACCUCAUCAGCUUCCAGUCGAUCAAUGGCGCGGCUGCGAGCACGAGCACGAGCGCUUUUGCUCAUCAUGUCGUGAAAGAAGCGGUUGAUCUUCAUCCGGUACCUUACUCCCGCUUCUUCAACUACAGCUCCUGGCCGCCGGUGCAGGAGGGUAUGUCCAGCGGCUCGCUGUCGCCGGCUGGCCACGGGAAGUUCAUGCAGUACGCCGGUGGGCAGCUCGUCAACGUUAUUGGCCGAAGGACGUUGCCGUUGACCGUGGGAUCAGCGCCGGCGGAGUACUGGCCGGUCGUGGGAGCCGCCAGCGUCGACACGGACGCUGGCGCAGGCAUGGACAGCUUCCCUUCCUCGCCGAGCAGCCUCGGGCUCAUGUCGGGAUCGUUAGGGGGGUCAUUUGGCAAUAACAUUUACGACGACGACCUGUUCGACUUGAUUCCUGACCAAGGUCGUGUACCCAUGCAUAUGCAUGCAUGCAACACACGGCCGACUUUGCAUGCAUGGGGUAGUAGUAAUAUUUUUUUAUGA
rnacentral:rRNA from 1 species